AUGCUACAACAUCUGGACCUCCAGGACGACGAACUUGAUGAUGUGGUGGUUGGGGCAGAAGAGGUGAAGAAGUUUGAAGUAGAUGCAAGAUGGUUGGCGAUUGGGAAAGUCAAUACGACUCGCAUCUUUAGCUCUUCAGCGAUGUUCGAGACGCUGAAGUCGAUCUGGGGAGUAGCUCAUGUGCCAAAGUAUAGGGAAGCGGGAGAGAAUCUUUUUAUCUUCGAGAUGUUCUUCUUAGGGGAUUGGAAGAGGGUGGUGCAUGGAGGACCAUGGCUGUUUAGGGGUAUGGGCAUGCUGAUUGAAGACUAUGAUGGUAAGAAGGAACCUACAACCUUCGAGUUUGACGGCUUAUACGUUUGGGCUCAGAUUCACAACAUACGAGAAUUAUACCGCAAAGAAUAAGUUGUGGAUCAGCUAGCUCGCCGCAUUGGUCGAGUGAAGGAAAUCUAGCUUGCACCUCGCCUCUUUUACGAGGGUGAUUAUGUUAGGGUUCGUGCAAGAGUGCUGGUGAAUAAGCCUCUCACAAGGGUGACGCCCCUGAAUGUGGUCGGCGAAGGAAGACGUCGCCUCCCUGUUAAGUACGAGAAAAUACCUUACUUUUUCAAAGUCUGUGGUUUCAUGGGCCACAAUCAUGAGGAGUGUGGAGAUGGUGUCUGGGAGGAGAAGGACAAACAAUGGGGAAGCUGGAUGCUUGCUCAGAGGAGGGAGACUGCCUCAGACCAAUAG
rnacentral:rRNA from 1 species